GCCACUAUGAUGGAAUGGUAGACAUAGAGGACUUAAAAUCCUUGGCCAAUUGGCAUAUGGGUUCGAAUCCCAUUAGUGGUACCA
rnacentral:tRNA from 2 species